rnacentral:rRNA from 1 species
AACGAACGCUGGCGGCAUGCCUAACACAUACAAGUCGAACGAUGUCUUUCGGGGCAUAGUGGCGCACGGGUGCGUAACGCGUGGGAAUCUGCCCUUGGGUUCGGAAUAACCGUUGGAAACGACGGCUAAUACCGGAUGAUGUCGAUAAGACCAAAGAUUUAUCGCCUGAGGAUGAGCCCGCGUAGGAUUAGCUAGUUGGUGUGGUAAGAGCGCACCAAGGCGACGAUCCUUAGCUGGUCUGAGAGGAUGAUCAGCCACACUGGGACUGAGACACGGCCCAGACUCCUACGGGAGGCAGCAGUGGGGAAUAUUGGACAAUGGGCGCAAGCCUGAUCCAGCAAUGCCGCGUGAGUGAUGAAGGCCUUAGGGUUGUAAAGCUCUUUUACCCGGGAUGAUAAUGACAGUACCGGGAGAAUAAGCUCCGGCUAACUCCGUGCCAGCCGCCGCGGUAA